rnacentral:SRP_RNA from 1 species
GCCGGGUGUGGCGGCACACGCCUGUAAUCCCAGCUACUUGGGAGGCUGAGGCAGGAGAAUUGCUUGAACCCGGGAGGCAGAGGCUGCAGUGAGCCGAGAUCAUGCCACUGCACUCCAGCCUGGGUGACAGAGCAAGACUCCGUCUCAA